GAGGAUGUAGCUCAGUGGUAGCAUGUAUGCUUUGCAUGUAUGAGGUCCUGGGUUCACUCCCCAGCAUCUCCA
rnacentral:tRNA from 1 species